rnacentral:piRNA from 1 species
GGGAAGGAUGGCCUAUUGUGCUG